rnacentral:rRNA from 1 species
AAUGGGCGCAAGCCUGACCCAGCAACGCCGCGUGGAGGAUGAAUGUCGUAAGAUUGUAAACUCCUUCUGAAGGGGACGAAAAAAUAGGUUUGUAGCCUAUAUUGACUGUACCCUUAGAAGAAGCCCCGGCUAACUACGUGCCAGCAGCCGCGGUAAUACGUAGGGGGCAAGCGUUGUCCGGAUUCACUGGGUGUAAAGGGCGCGUAGGCGUGUUUGUAAGUCAGUGGUGAAAUCCUACAGCUUAACUGUAGAACUGCCUCUGAUACUGCAAGCCUUGGGUAUGGAAGAGAGAGACGGAAUUCCAGGUGUAGUGGUGAAAUACGUAGACAUCUGGAAGAACACCAGUGGCGAAGGCGGUCUCUUGGUCCAUUACUGACGCUGAGGCGCGAAAGCGUGGGGAGCAAA